UCUGCAUCGCUGGGCUGUGUCC
rnacentral:miRNA from 1 species